rnacentral:rRNA from 1 species
CCAGACUCCUACGGGAGGCAGCAGUGGGGAAUAUUGCACAAUGGGGGAAACCCUGAUGCAGCGACGCCGCGUGAGUGAGGAAGUAUCUCGGUACGUAAAGCUCUAUCAGCAGGGAAGAAAAUGACGGUACCUGAUUAAGAAGCCCCGGCUGACUACGUGCCAGCAGCCGCGGUAAUACGUAGGGGGCAAGCGUUAUCCGGAUUUACUGGGUGUAAAGGGAGCGUAGACGGCGAUGCAAGUCUGAAGUGAAAGGCGGGGGCCCAACCCCCGGACUGCUUUGGAAACUUUUUUGCUGGAGUACCGGAGAGGUAAGCGGAAUUCCUAGUGUAGCGGUGAAAUGCGUAGAUAUUAGGAGGAACACCAGUGGCGAAGGCGGCUUACUGGACGGUAACUGACGUCGAGGCUCGAAAGCGUGGGGAGCAAACAGGAUUAGAUACCCCUGUAC